GAUGAACGCUGGCGGCGUGCCUAAUACAUGCAAGUCGAGCGAACAGACGAGGAGCUUGCUCCUCUGACGUUAGCGGCGGACGGGUGAGUAACACGUGGAUAACCUACCUAUAAGACUGGGAUAACUUCGGGAAACCGGAGCUAAUACCGGAUAAUAUAUUGAACCGCAUGGUUCAAUAGUGAAAGACGGUUUUGCUGUCACUUAUAGAUGGAUCCGCGCCGCAUUAGCUAGUUGGUAAGGUAACGGCUUACCAAGGCAACGAUGCGUAGCCGACCUGAGAGGGUGAUAGGCCACACUGGAACUGAGACACGGUCCAGACUCCUACGGGAGGCAGCAGUAGGGAAUCUGACGCAAUGGGGGAAAGCCUGACGGAGCAACGCCGCGUGAGUGAUGAAGGUCUUCGGAUCGUAAAACUCUGUUAUUAGGGAAGAACAAAUGUGUAAGUAACUAUGCACGUAUUGACGGUACCUAAUCAGAAAGCCACGGCUAACUACGUG
rnacentral:rRNA from 1 species